GGAGGGGUAGGAAGGGGAGGUGCUGCAGGCCCCCCCCCCCCCCGCCCGCCGGCCUUGGCGGCAUGACUCCACCCUGACCAGGGGCAGGCGAGCGGCUACAUUGGAGCAGAGGGCACAGCAGAGGCUGUUCCCACAGAGGAGCACAGUUCUCCACCCCACCUGGAGGCAGCAGCUAGGAUGAUUCUGAGAGCCGAUUGAUCAGCUUCUGCCUCACCUAUUUUGAUGAGGAUUCUCAUAAUGAUAAAGAUAACAAUUCUCCAAAAAGACACAACGAUUUUAAAUGUGUAUGCGCCUAACAAAAAGGAUUUCAAAAUGCAAAUCCUGCUACCCACAUCCCCCAACAACUACUCAGCAUUCAUCCACAGACACAGGUGACUGGGAGAUGAGAGAUUUCAACACCAGGGCCGCACAGAUAGGAGUCGAGUCUGAGACCUACACCACAGCUCACAGCAACACGGGA